GAUGAACGCUAGCGGCAGGCUUAAUACAUGCAAGUCGAGGGGCAGCACGGGUAGCAAUAUCUGGUGGCGACCGGCGCACGGGUGCGUAACACGUAUGUAACCUACCUUAAACUGGGGAAUAGCCCCUUGAAAGAGGGAUUAAUACCCCAUAACACUGCGAGAAGGCAUCUUUUUGCAGUUAAAGUUCCGCCGGUUUAAGAUGGACAUGCGCGACAUUAGCUAGUUGGUGAGGUAACGGCUCACCAAGGCAUUGAUGUCUAGGGGUUCUGAGAGGAAAGUCCCCCACACUGGUACUGAGACACGGACCAGACUCCUACGGGAGGCAGCAGUAAGGAAUAUUGGUCAAUGGGCGCAAGCCUGAACCAGCCAUGCCGCGUGCAGGAUGACGGCCCUAUGGGUUGUAAACUGCUUUUGUGCGGGAAAAAACCCCUUUACGUGUAAAGGGCUGAUGGUACCGUAAGAAUAAGGAUCGGCUAACUCCGUGCCAGCCGCCGCGGUAACAC
rnacentral:rRNA from 1 species